rfam:Trichobilharzia regenti genome assembly, scaffold: TRE_scaffold0011999
GUACUGCUGAAGAGUCCCAAACCAGGCUGACGAAACAGCUGUCCAGUAC